CUCGCAACAAACAACCAACAAAAACCAACCAAAGUUACUCAUCACUGUCCGAAAACACAAAGCCACCACUGCCGGCCGCCCGCCCUCCUCCGCCGCCGCUGCCGCCACUUCCUCCUUCUCAAAUCAGGUCAUUUCAAAACCCUAACUUCGAUGUCAACCCUAAUCCAAUUCAGAACUCACUGCCUCUCGCCACCGCUCCAAUUCAAGAAACGCUCACUUCUCCCUUCACCUCCCACGUCCUUUCUCUCUCAUCCUUGUUCGGAUUUCUCUCUCUUGAAAUUGAGAGGUCAACGAAUCCUCCACAGCAAUGGCGUCCUCGCUCGUGCGGAAGACAAGGCCCGAAACUCCUCCUCACCGUCAUCUCCUUCGUCGAGUCAACAGAACCAAGCCACUGACUCCGAGAAAAAAAUUCAGGAGCUGACAUCAUCAUCUGGAGAAUGUGAUCCUUUAUGUUCUGUCGAUGAAACAAGCUCACAAGAUUUUGAGGCCACUUAUCAGCCGAAAACUGAUCUAUUGAAAGCUCUAGCGAUUCUUGGAGCAGCUGCAAUAGGAACCGUGGCAAUUAAUCAAUCCUGGGUUGCUGCUAAUCAGGAUGUUGCUAUGGUCCUGCUCUUUGGAAUUGGAUAUGCAGGCAUUAUUUUUGAAGAAUCUCUGGCGUUUAAUAAAAGUGGAGUAGGAUUAUUAAUGGCAGUGAGUUUGUGGGUAGUACGAAGCAUUGGGGCUCCCUCAACCGAGGUUGCUGUUUCAGAGUUGACACAUGCAUCUGCUGAAGUCAGUGAAAUAGUAUUUUUCUUGUUGGGUGCAAUGACCAUUGUGGAGAUAGUUGAUGCCCAUCAAGGAUUUAAGUUGGUUACCGACAACAUAACUACUCGAAAGCCAAGGACUCUGCUUUGGGUGGUUGGCUUAGUGACUUUUUUCCUCAGUUCAAUCCUUGACAACCUGACCUCCACUAUUGUCAUGGUUUCCUUAUUGAGGAAACUCGUACCUCCAUCAGAAUACCGCAAGCUUCUAGGGGCUGUUGUUGUGAUAGCAGCAAAUGCUGGUGGUGCAUGGACUCCUAUUGGUGAUGUAACCACCACUAUGCUGUGGAUACAUGGUCAAAUAUCUACAUUGCCAACAAUGAAGGGCUUAAUUUUACCUGCUGCAGUUUCCUUGGCUGUCCCGCUGGCUCUUCUGUCACUUACUAGUGAAGUUAAUGGAACGGGACAAGAUUCUCCGAAUGUUUUGUCAUCCGAACAAAUGGCCCCUCGAGGACUGCUUGUUUUCUCUGUUGGGAUUGGAGGACUGGUGUUUGUCCCUGUGUUCAAGGCUUUAACAGGUUUACCACCUUUCAUGGGUAUGUUGCUUGGACUUGGAGUUCUUUGGAUUUUGACAGAUGCAAUUCAUUACGGUGAAUCCGAUAGGCAAAAGUUGAAGGUACCCCAGGCUUUAUCGCGAAUUGACACCCAAGGAGCCCUUUUCUUCCUUGGGAUCCUUUUGUCUGUCAGCAGCCUGGAGGCAGCAGGGAUACUUCGAGAAUUGGCAAAUUACCUUGAUGCCCACAUUCCAAACAUUGAACUGAUUGCGACUGCAAUAGGGGUUGUAUCAGCAAUUAUAGACAACGUUCCAUUAGUUGCUGCAACAAUGGGAAUGUAUGAUCUCACUUCUUUCCCCCAAGAUUCCGAAUUUUGGCAACUGGUUGCGUAUUGUGCCGGUACAGGAGGAUCCAUGUUGGUUAUUGGCUCCGCUGCGGGAGUUGCAUUUAUGGGAAUGGAGAAGGUGGAUUUCUUUUGGUACUUGCGGAAGGUAUCUGGAGUUGCUUUUGCUGGAUAUGCUGCUGGAAUUGCUACAUACUUAGCAGUUCACAAUCUCCAUCUCUCUCUCCCUACGACCGUAGCUCAGGUCCCUUUUCUUUCUGGUUCAUAAGCUAAUUAUUCUCGGCCUUCAUUUCCGUCAUGACUAGUAAGGCAAUACAUCUCAUGUAAUACUGCUGUUGUCGAUCAUUAUAAAUUUGCACCAACUGGCGGUGCAUGAAGCGUUGAGAACAAUUGGGAGAAAGAAUUACCAGUUCUGGUGAGAAGUAUGCAAAAGUAGUUGGGACACCAGCCUUGGAGUGUAUAAUUAUAGUCGUUGAAGGUGUAUAAUGUCCUUGAUGCUUAUUACAUUGGUAGGACUUCUACAAGAAAUGUGAUUUUGAUCAUAGUUCAAUAAAAUUCUUGAUUAAUAUAGCACAUCUUCUAAUAAAGUUGAAAUUGCUACUUAACAAGUGAUAGAACUUAAGUUCAUCAAAUCCACAUAUGGGUCUUAAGCACCCAUGUUUGUUUCUUCCUUGUCACACUCACAAGGCCACAAGGGUGUCCAAGACUUCAACCCGUCCGUACAUAAUCACUCCUCGCCCCUCGCGUACUUGAUCGCUUUGUUCGCCAUGUGCGAGAUAAAUGGAUUCGAGAACCCUGUAGUGAGCAAAGUCGCUAUAGGAUUGUAGUAAGCAUUUCAGCCGUCUAUCUAGCAAUCAACAGUUCGGAUUUAAAAAAAAAAACUCUUCCAAGGAAGAGGUACAAUUUUGGAUUGCUAAUCGCUACAAUUUUAUAGUGACUUUACUCACUACAGGGUCCUCGGAUCCCAAGGUAAAUACCAAAUCUCAAAUGGCUAAGAAUGAAUAGCCUGGGAGUGAUGAUUAGAGUAUGAAGCACCUACUCUUGGCAUGGAUCUACUGCUUGCAUGGAUGACUUACCUUUAAGUUAGAUAAAUGAAACAAACUAUUCGAGUCCAAGUUCGUGUUCACUCGUUAAAAGCUUGUUGCCAUGAGAACAAAACUACACCGUUUGCACACAAUUAGGCUCCUUAGUUCCUUUUCCCUUAUCCCCCGUUUGGCACCUGCAAAUGAGUGAAGGUUAAUUACUAUUUUUUUUUUACACUUUUUUGAAUCCUUGUAUAGGUGAAUGUCUAAUCCAAACACACACAUCCAGAUCUAAUUAACAUUCGAUAUGAGUGUCAUCUUAAAUUUCUUUCGCUCUAUGUUUGUUUCACCUAAUUAUAGGGUUACAAAUAACCGAGCUGUUUGUGAACUGUUCGAGGCUCGACUCAAUGAAGCCUUGUUUGAGUUUUAUUCGUCAAUUAAACAAACCGAACUGCCUCGGUGUUUCAAUUCUCUGAAAUGGAGGUUAUAAAAUUCCCACUUUUGUUUUUAAAUUUCAAUGCUAGCAUGUCCUUUGUACAUUUUCUUUAUAUAGAAAAGGUUUUAUCUUUUAUAAAUAAAAUCGAAUUGUCAUCCAAAUUUAAACCA